GUGCUACUAACUUUCUUCUAAUUCUAUAACCGGAGCGUUCAUUUUGGUCAACCAAAUCCAAUCACGUCCUCUUCUCGAGCCAUCAGCCUCACCAACCCUCAUUAACAACUGCUCUCCACCUGGCCUGCAUCACUAUACAAUAAACCAGACGAGACCGGAGGAUUAUUCCGCUUUGGCUAGAGCGGAACAAACCCGUGGUGCCGCAGUCACACGUUUGAGAAAU
rnacentral:lncRNA from 1 species